rnacentral:lncRNA from 1 species
CAAUUUACCAUUUAAACCCAUUUUCUAUAAAAUCACACAAUUGAAUAAAACUACUCUAGAUAAUUAAGACGAUAAUAAGUUUACUCAUAGUUCUAGGAGUCAAUGUACUCCUAAUCCCAAUCUCCAAGCACAAUCUCUGUACUUUUACCAGUGUAAUUUACUCACCACCUAUCCACAAUGUACAAUACAUAAUUCACCACAUCAAUGCUUGACUAUUAUAAAAUCAAUUCAGGCUCGGUGUAUAUGCAUGAUAUGAUAUGCAACUUAUCCGACUACCGCUUAAAUGCGGUGUUGACUUAAUUCGGCCUAUUACUUGAUUAAAUGACAAUUGUGUCCGAUUUGGCUCCAAAUCGCUCCAUUUCAUUUCUAAUAUUUCAAUUCACUAAAUACAAUUCCAAUAAUCUAAAAUUCAGCCUAACAACCCUCACAAUUCUUUUUGAAAAUUUCGGCCAUUGUGGUGCACUAUCACUAAAAAUUUUUUCAUUUCAUUUUCUCACCAUAAAUCAUCAUUUCAUCAAUUUUUCAACCAAUUCACUUGAUCACAAAAUCAAUUCAUUACUUCUACACUUCACAUAGGGUUCGACCAUUGAAGGUUCAUGGGGAAAAGGGAUUCUUUUCUUGUUGUUUUGUUUCUAAACAUGCUUAACUAACUAAAAACACUAACAUAACUUAGAAUCAAAUCAAUCUAACAUCAUUCUCUCUCCAUACCCAUUCCAACCAGCCAUGAAUUCAUCAUGAAAACAUGUAAUUUAACAAUGGAAAUUAAGGGAAAAUGCAUGGGUAAGGUAAAUCACUAGCAAAAUCAAAGAAAUUUUACCUUUGCUUGAUCAAAUCCUUGAAUUCCAACACUUUCUCUUUGAUUUUUUCCACCUAGGGUUUGUUCUUCCUUGGUUUCUCUUAUUUUCUGGUUUGGUU